rnacentral:lncRNA from 1 species
GCCUGGGCUGCCAGUGGCUGGCUGGGUCCAGUCCUGGGGCGGGGGGUAAGCCCGGGAGCCCAUCCCCCCCACUUCUCUUUGACAAUCCGAGGGCGCAAGUUAGAUAACCGUGACACUUGUUUUAAAUUAGCCUUCAGAAGCCUCCGACAGCUGAGAAAUUAUUUAACAGGGAAAGAAUUGAGUACAUGAAUAAAUAUUAAUAUUAAAUCACUGCUUCUCUAGAUUUAAGGCGAAGCGUGGGGGACUCACCAAGACACAGAGGUUGCAGGUGUUCCUGAGAAGCCGCUCGCAUGGCGUGGGAACUGGAGCAGCCAGCGCUCAGUCGCAGGCUCCCGUGAGAGCCGGGCAGGGGCUCCGUCUGCCCGGGAGGCUUGCAGGUGGCACAGGCGAUGUUGGAGCAGCUCGCGGAGGCUCAACAGGUGCUAGAACCACGGGAGAAGACAGACACCAUCUGCUCCAAAGCUGCUGCCCGGACGUCACCCUCUACUCUUCCCCCAUCUUGGUGUCACCCCCUCCCCCCGGGGUCAAUAUUCCUGAGAGCAUCAUGGUUCUUUCCUGCUCCUCUGCUGUGCCUGGGUCCUUGUCUCUUUCUUUAUGUCCCAGGUAGCACCCGCUGGACCUCUUUCACUCAUCUUCCUUAGAAUCCAUCCUCCAAGUAGCAACUGGCCGGGCCUUUUAAAAACACCCAUCUGACCCUCCUUCAGGCCUUUUGGUAGCUCUCAUUUUUGUGCAGAAAAAGACUCCAAGUCCAAUGGAGUAAGCAUGCUUCUUAUCCCAUUUUGCAGAUUGGGGAACUGCAGCCUGAGCCAGUUACGGCGCUCUGGCUGGAGUUGACUGAACUCAGUCACCUGGUCACCUUCUAAAGGCCUCAGCUCC